rnacentral:rRNA from 1 species
UACGAAGGGGGCUAGCGUUGCUCGGAAUCACUGGGCGUAAAGCGCACGUAGGCGGAUUUCUAAGUCGGGGGUGAAAUCCCGGAGCUCAACUCCGGAACUGCCUUCGAUACUGGCGAUCUCGAGUCCGGGAGAGGUGAGUGGAACUGCGAGUGUAGAGGUGAAAUUCGUAGAUAUUCGCAAGAACACCAGUGGCGAAGGCGGCUCACUGGCCCGGUACUGACGCUGAGGUGCGAAAGCGUGGGGAGCAAACAGG